rnacentral:misc_RNA from 1 species
GAUGAAGAACGCAGCGAAAUGCUAUACGUAAUGUGAAUUGCAGAUUUCAGUGAAUCAUCGAAUCUUUGAACGCACAUUGCGCCCGCUAGUAUUCUGGCGGGCAUGCCUGUUCGAGCGUCAUUUCAACCAUCAAGCCCUAGGCUUGCGUUGGAGCCCUGCGGCUGCCGCAGGCUCCCAAAUCCAGUGGCGGGCUCGUCGUCGUACCGAGUGCAGUAAACAUCCUCGCUCUGGGCAUGGCGGCGGGCACCUGCCGUAAAACACUCUUUCUAAGGUUGACCUCGGAUCAGGUAGGAAUACCCGCUGAACUUAAGCAUAUCAAUAAGCGGAGGA